rnacentral:lncRNA from 1 species
CCAACCACACACACCUUCACGGUGCGCACACCCUCGCAAUUCACAACAUACUAAUUACUAUAAAAGACUCAUCAUCUAGGCAUAAUUCCCAACCCAUUCUAUGAUAAUAUUGUUUUCAUUCCUUCACAAAAUAACAUAGAAACAAACACAUUUGAUUCUUAUAACUAGAUCGAUCCAUAUGCUCUAAAUGGAUAAGAGAGGUAUGGAUUUUCCGCUCAGUUUUAAUUUUUUUCUUUUCUUUCUGUUUGGACAAGAAGAUUUUUGACUAAGACUGGGUUUGAUUCUACUUUCCUAUUUCUCAAAAACAACUUCUCUCAUCAGCUAUUUCGUGUUGCCCCCCCUGAAAUAUCACUUUUCGGGUCAAAUACCCCCCAGCUUUUGCUAUGGGGCUGGCAGGUUCACUCCUUGCCAUGAAUAGGGCUGGCUCCUUCCCCGAGAUAGAUAGAAGCCAAGCCCACUACGCGGUGCGAACUCCUAAAGAAGAGAAUGAACUUACUCUUUCACAUCUCAUCACCGAUGGCAUGGGCAGACCCAGGAAAAAACUCAAGAGGGGGCAAAAAUAUAUGCCAUAUAUUCUGAUGUGCAUCAGCUAAGAAGGCAAGCAUCCAUAGAAACUAAAUUAUAUGCAUUAUCCAUACAAAAAGAUGUUUUAUAGUGAUAUGAAGAAAAUACCUUGUUCCGA